rnacentral:rRNA from 1 species
GAUGAACGCUGGCGGCGUGCUUAACACAUGCCAGUCGAACGAUGAAGCCCAGCUUGCUGGGUGGAUUAGUGGCGAACGGGUGAGUAACACGUGAGUAACCUGCCCUUGACUCUGGGAUAAGCCCGGGAAACUGGGUCUAAUACCGGAUAGGAGCGCCUGUCGCAUGACGGGUGUUGGAAAGAUUUUUCGGUCAUGGAUGGACUCGCGGCCUAUCAGCUUGUUGGUGAGGUAAUGGCUCACCAAGGCGACGACGGGUAGCCGGCCUGAGAGGGUGACCGGCCACACUGGGACUGAGACACGGCCCAGACUCCUACGGGAGGCAGCAGUGGGGAAUAUUGCACAAUGGGCGGAAGCCUGAUGCAGCGACGCCGCGUGAGGGAUGACGGCCUUCGGGUUGUAAACCUCUUUCAGUAGGGAAGAAGCGAAAGUGACGGUACCUGCAGAAGAAGCACCGGCUAACUACGUG